rnacentral:tRNA from 1 species
GCGCCUGUAGCUCAUCUGGAUAGAGUAACGGACUUCGAAUCCGUAGGUGGUGGGUUCGAGUCCCGCCGGGCGCA